GUGGUGAGGGCGCCGAGGUGCGGGGGCUCGUAACCAGGGCGACGGGGGCGGGGCGCUGGCCCUACGCCGCCGGGUGCUCACCUGGAUUGCGCGUCCACUUGGUUGAAGAUGGAAUAACCACAAGAGAUUUUCUCCAUGAAUGAUGACCACGCAGGUGAUAUAGUCGUGGAAAAAUACCUGGUGGAUUCCAAGAAGUCCGCAUCCCACGUUCAGCUCGCCUGCAGUGGGCAGUCCUGUGCUUUCCCCUUAGAUGCAAACGAACUUUGUGUAUGGGACACCAAGGAACCUCCUCACCAGGUUUGGGACCAUCGUAUGGGAUCAUUAACAUACAACUCAUCAGUGUUAACAGUUUCUACUUCCUGGUGAAGAACUUACUUUGGAAUAGUUUACAUGUGGCUAAAAGAAAUACCAUCAAUAGAAGUGCUGGCUCCCAGUUUAAACUCUGUCAGGCGCCUUUAAAGCUAAGAACUCGCGUGCCCCCUCCAAUAGCCUCUCCCCUCCCGAGUCUCCUUGUGAACCAGCGAAGGCUGCAGCUGGUCACCGGCUGUGUGGAUGGCCAGCUUCGGACCUUCGCUUUGGUGGAAGGACACCAUUAUCGCUGCGUGACACACGUUGACCUGAGGAAAGAGAGAGUUUCCGCACCAGGGGGGUGGAGUCCAAGCCAUGCAGCUGGCCAGAUUGUCAGUAAUUCUGUCCGUAGAAGACAGUCAGCCUCCCUCCACAAAGGCACCGGACACAGGAGAAGAGAUUGAAGUGACACUUCCUGUCCUGAGCCUGGCGCCCUGUGACUGUGGAUUAGUUUGGAGAGCUCUGGAGAUGACUAAAGAGCAGCCUCUGGUCCUGCUGGGGUGGGAGACCUGAGGAGGCUGCUGGUGCGGCUGCAGCCCUUCUGUGCUUGCGCAGCAGGCAGUCGUGUCUCUGCACAGGUGCCCCUGCCUGCUCCGGAACAGCGCCUGGCCUGAACUUGAGCUGACUAGUGGGUCUGAGGCCUUGGGUCCCCACCGUCCCUCAGGGAGCAGUGAUCCCACUUCUGCUCAGACUCGCUUGGUCUCCCUGGGCUGGUGUUGGAGGCUGAGGACCCGAGAACAGCCUGGGCAGUGGCUGAGGCUGCUGUUUGGCUUCAUGCCCAAAGCGCAUGUGGGACAGAGGUGUCUGUGGAGCCGUUCUGAGUCCAGGUGGUGAAACCGGAGGCGGCUGAUCAAUCAGAUUACAGCCUGCAUCUAGUUUGUAAACGGAAAAACGAAGAAGAAAUGGCAGAUCUGUGUGUGCCUUGAUGUGCACGCUGCUAUCGGUCAGUCUCCAGUCUGUCAGCACCACCCGGCAGGGUCUUCUGUGCAGCCGUCACACAGGCGUGGAGCCCGCCCACGGGGAAGCCCACCUGUGUGGGGUCUCGCGGGGGCCGAUGUGCUGACCUCCUGUGACGUCAGGGGGGAGAAAAACCUCCGUCCAGAGUUGAGUUGGGCCCAGCUUGUGGCCCUUUGAGCUACCUGUCUUCCCUGGACAGUGGGUGUCUAGGAAACCCAGACCCUGGGAUGUGCUGAGAGGUUAUAAGUGAUCGGACUGGCCUCCUGGGACACAGGCAGAGGGACCCUCAGGUCGCCAAGGUUGUGUGUCACCUGUUCCUCUCACGUGGAUCCAGCGCAAUUCUCGGUGCCCUGGAGCUGAGGAAGAUCAGGACACUUUUUUCUCCUUUUCUUUUAAAAUUAGUCUUUCUUCUGAGAAUGCCAGCUGCUUGCGGACUGGAAGCUCAGCGGGUUUAUUCAUAUUUAAGUUGGCAGACUUUGAAUUGGAGGCCAUUUUACGUUGCAAGG
ensembl:lncRNA